GACGAACGCUGGCGGCGUGCUUAACACAUGCAAGUCGAACGGAAAGGCCCUGCUUUUGUGGGGUGCUCGAGUGGCGAACGGGUGAGUAACACGUGAGUAACCUGCCCUUGACUUUGAGAUAACUUCAGGAAACUGGGGCUAAUACCGGAUAGGAGCUCCUGCUGCAUGGUGGGGGUUGGAAAGUUUCGGCGGUUGGGGAUGGACUCGCGGCUUAUCAGCUUGUUGGUGGGGUAGUGGCUUACCAAGGCUUUGACGGGUAGCCGGCCUGAGAGGGUGACCGGCAACAUUGGGACUGAGAUACGGCCCAGACUCCUACGGGAGGCAGCAGUGGGGAAUAUUGCACAAUGGGCGGAAGCCUGAUGCAGCAACGCCGCGUGCGGGAUGACGGCCUUCGGGUUGUAAACCGCUUUCGCCUGUGACGAAGCGUGAGUGACGGUAAUGGGUAAAGAAGCACCGGCUAACUACGUG
rnacentral:rRNA from 1 species